rnacentral:rRNA from 1 species
GCUUACGGCCAUACCAGCCUGGGUACGCCCGAUCUCGUCUGAUCUAGUAAGCUAAGCAGGGUCGGGCCUGGUUAGUACUUGGAUGGGAGACCGCCUGGCAAUACCAGGUGCUGUAAGCA